AAAUUUGAAAUCUGGUAGCCUUCGGCUGCCCUUGAUGUAAUCUAGAGAAGUGUUUUCCGUGCCGGCCCAUGUACAAGUCCCUUGGAACAGGGCGUCAUAGAGGGUGAGAAUCCCGUCCUUGACAUGGACCCCCGGUGCUUUGUGAUACACUUUCAACGAGUCGAGUUGUUUGGGAAUGCAGCUCAAAAUGGGUGGUGAAUUCCAUCUAAAGCUAAAUAUUGGCGAGAGACCGAUAGCGAACAAGUACCGUGAGGGAAAGAUGAAAAGCACUUUGGAAAGAGAGUUAAACAGUACGUGAAAUUGUUGAAAGGGAAACGAUUGAAGUCAGUCAUGCUCUUUGGAUUCAGCCGUUCUGCGGUGUAUUUCCAUUGAGUGGGGUCAACAUCAGUUUUGACCGCUGGAUAAAGGCACUAGGAAGGUAGCACUCUCGGGUGAACUUAUAGCCUAGCGUCAUAUACAGUGGUUGGGACUGAGGAACGCAGCAUGCCUUUAUGGCCGGGAUUCGUCCACGUACAUGCUUAGGAUGUUGACAUAAUGGCUUUAAACGACCCGCCUUGA
rnacentral:rRNA from 1 species